rnacentral:rRNA from 1 species
UACAGAGGCCUCGAGCGUUGUUCGGAAUUACUGGGCGUAAAGGGAAUGUAGGUGGUGACGUAAGUCAGAUGUGAAAGCCCUGGGCUUAACCUGGGAAGUGCAUUUGAUACUGCGUUGCUGGAGUGCGAGAGAGGAAAGCGGAAUUCCAGGUGUAGGGGUGAAAUCCGUAGAUAUCUGGAGGAAUACCGAUGGCGAAGGCAGCUUUCUGGCUCGUAACUGACACUGAGAUUCGAAAGCGUGGGUGAGCAAACAAGG